CGGUGAACAUGGUAACCAACUUGUACAGACUAACACUUUAAUAAGCAUGUUUUAACAAUCUAUAAUUACAUCUAAAUAUACAAUUAUUGGUCAACAAUUGUAAUUGUAUUUCUUUCCAAUCGAUAUGUUGAUCCAAAUUUUUAAUUCGUUUUCUUCUCUUAAAUUAAAAACCAGGCUUUACCUUUGAUAUUCAUUUGUACUUUACAUUAAUGGUGAAAAACUGCGAGACUUGCCACCAAAUGGAACGGAAAAACCUCGGAUUUGGACAUUAUUAUUGGAUAAACUGGACACAAAUUGACAUUUAUUGGCCAAUUCGAACUUAUUGAUGGAUUACGAGUUUUACCAAAGCAUUUACAAUUGUAAUUACUGCGUUUGCUACUGUACUUGUUAUCGCUAUUUAAUACAUGGUUUAUGUUCCUUCUGGUUGAUCUCAAUUUUCAUGUUCACUGGUCAAAUAAUAAUACUGUAAACUAAUGUAAACAUUAUCGCAAUCGGCUGUUGGACAUCGUGUUGAUAUCUUGCACCAAGUUAAUUAGUGGUCUCCAUGUUAUGACCUAACUUUACCUUUUGUUUAUCGGUCAGCUUGGUUACCUUUCAAUUUUGGAUGCAAUUUUUCACAAAUUAUAGUGUUAAUUAGAUUUCUGUUUGACAUUCAUGAUGUUAACCUGCCAAUUGUUGGCCUUUACAGGGUCUAUUGAUUGAAAGAUAGAGCAAUAUUACAUGUGUUUUGAAACAUGAAAAAAGCUAUUCAAGAAUAAUGUUUCGUCAACCGUUAAUCAACACUUUGUUUACUUGUUAAACUAAUGAUCAAACCUGUUGUUAUUGUUCUGCCGCUAUGAGAAACAAAUAUCAUGUAUUCUGGUUUGGUAAAUUAGCGAACAAUUUUGGCUUAAUUAAUAGAAAUCAUCUCAAAUUUUGGAUCCAUUUUCCCAUGUUUAACGCUCUUAAUUAUAUACCGUUUCAUGGCCAAGUCAACAAUCAAGACGACAAACAAAAGUGCCUGUUAAUUGUGGUUUUUGGCUAUUUAAAGUGUUGGAAAUUGAGAUUGGAGUCUCAUACUUGACCAGACAUAAAGUCCAAGCACAUUGAGGGUUAAGAUGGAAACGAUUGGACUUAUUUGCAUGAUGAAAUAUAAUCACAAUAACGAUUAAAGUGAAAUUAAACUUCAACCUGAAUUGAAAAAUCAAGUUUACUCGCAAUCAACUGUGCACAGAGUUUGAUUGAUUGAAACCAUUGACAAUAAACUACCAAUAAAAGUUCCGGUUCAUUGACAAUUAAUGAUAA